rnacentral:rRNA from 1 species
GAUGAACGCUGGCGGCGUGCCUAAUACAUGCAAGUCGAGCGAACAGACGAGGAGCUUGCUCCUCUGACGUUAGCGGCGGACGGGUGAGUAACACGUGGAUAACCUACCUAUAAGACUGGGAUAACUUCGGGAAACCGGAGCUAAUACCGGAUAAUAUAUUGAACCGCAUGGUUCAAUAGUGAAAGACGGUUUUGCUGUCACUUAUAGAUGGAUCCGCGCCGCAUUAGCUAGUUGGUAAGGUAACGGCUUACCAAGGCAACGAUGCGUAGCCGACCUGAGAGGGUGAGCGGCCACACUGGAACUGAGACACGGUCCAGGCUCCUACGGGAGGCAGCAGUAGGGAAUCUUCCGCAAUGGGCGAAAGCCUGACGGAGCAACGCCGCGUGAGUGAUGAAGGUCUUCGGAUCGUAAAACUCUGUUAUUAGGGAAGAACAAAUGUGUAAGUAACUAUGCACGUCUUGACGGUACCUAAUCAGAAAGCCACGGCUAACUACGUG